GGUUUGACUGAUGACCCAAAUAAGAAAAACACCCACAGGGAUCCUACAAAUUCUAGAAUUCUGUAAGAAUCCAAGAACGGAAGAAAGUGACGGAGGCUCUAUCUAUCAGUAAAUCAACUAAAAGAACACAAAAUAUAGAAGGUUAAACAGGAAAAAAGAAAAGAUAAAAAAUCAAGUAAGAUCGGCAAGGAGGGACGAGAAAUUAUAUAAUUUAGAAGUUUGUUAGUAAACA